rnacentral:rRNA from 1 species
UAGGGAAUCUUCCACAAUGGACGCAAGUCUGAUGGAGCAACGCCGCGUGAGUGAAGAAGGUUUUCGGACCGUAAAGCUCUGUUGUUGGUGAAGAAGGAUAGAGGUAGUAACUGGCCUUUAUUUGACGGUAAUCAACCAGAAAGUCACGGCUAACUACGUGCCAGCAGCCGCGGUAAUACGUAGGUGGCAAGCGUUGUCCGGAUUUAUUGGGCGUAAAGCGAGCGCAGGCGGAAGAAUAAGUCUGAUGUGAAAGCCCUCGGCUUAACCGAGGAAUUGCAUCGGAAACUGUUUUCUUGAGUGCAGAAGAGGAGAGUAGAACUCCAUGUGUAGCGGUGGAAUGCGUAGAUAUAUGGAAGAAUACCAGUGGCGAAGGCGGCUCUCUGGUCUGCAACCGACGCUGAGGCUCGAAAGCAUGGGUAGCGAACAGGAUUAGAUACCCUGGUAGUCCAUGCCGUAAACGAUGAGUGCUAAGUGUUGGGAGGCUUCCGCCUCUCAGUGCUGCAGCUAACGCAUUAAGCACUCCGCCUGGGGGAGUACGACCGCAAGGUUGAA